GCUGGUGCUUUCAGAUAGAUUCAGGGCAACCUGGGCGGCUGGCGGUGGAUUGCAAACACCGGGAGCCGUCUACAUA
rnacentral:sRNA from 12 species